UGGUCAAGAUCAUAGACAUUAGGGGCAUG
rnacentral:piRNA from 1 species